rnacentral:rRNA from 1 species
UACGGAGGGUGCAAGCGUUAUCCGGAUUCACUGGGUUUAAAGGGUGCGUAGGUGGGGUGGUAAGUCAGUGGUGAAAUCUCCGAGCUUAACUUGGAAACUGCCAUUGAUACUAUCAUUCUUGAAUAUUGUGGAGGUCAGCGGAAUAUGUCAUGUAGCGGUGAAAUGCUUAGAUAUGACAUAGGACACCAAUUGCGAAGGCAGCUGGCUACACAUAUAUUGACACUGAGGCACGAAAGCGUGGGGAUCAAACAGG